rnacentral:lncRNA from 1 species
UAUUGUUGUACACAUUCAUAUGUAGUAGUUUAUUGUGCUGGAUGAUGAAUCAACUAAUGGUAUCUUGUAUAUUCCAUGCUCUCUGCAUUGUAUCUGAAUUCAAGCUCUAUGUUGAAAGUAAGUCAGUUAAAAGAAUGACUCCGUAACCAUUAUGGUACCAAGCAAAAAAAAUGUAAAAAAGUUUAAGUUGUUGAUUAAGAUCCAGUCACUUGACUGGCCUAAGGAUCAUACUUCUCCACCAAGGUUAAUAUCCAUAUUCUUCAGGACUAUGUUUUUUUGCAAAGAUUCUUUGAAAUACAGUCUGAACUUUGUCAUAGAUGACCACUACAGUCUAGCCAAUGCAGUUUAUGAAAUAAAAAAAACAUCUCCACUGCUUUUACUUUCACUGAUGUUGAAAUCAAGAAAUGAGGUCGAUGGC